UACGUAGGGUGCGAGCGUUGUCCGGAAUUAUUGGGCGUAAAGAGCUCGUAGGCGGUCUGUUGCGUCCGCUGUGAAAACUCGGGGCUUAACCCCGAGCCUGCAGUGGAUACGGGCAGACUAGAGGUAGGUAGGGGAGAAUGGAAUUCCCGGUGUAGCGGUGAAAUGCGCAGAUAUCAGGAGGAACACCGGUGGCGAAGGCGGGUCUCUGGGCCAUAACUGACGCUGAGGAGCGAAAGCGUGGGGAGCGAACAGG
rnacentral:rRNA from 1 species